UGGGGAAUUUUACGCAAUGGGGGAAACCCUGACGUAGCGACACCGCGUGAGCGAAGAAGCCCUUUGGGGUGUAAAGCUCUGUCAGCUGGAACGAAAAAAAUGACGGUACCAGCAGAGGAAGCAUCGGCUAACUACGUGCCAGCAGCCGCGGUAAGACGUAGGAUGCGAGCGUUGUCCGGAUUCAUUGGGCGUAAAGAGUCCGUAGGCUGUUUGUUAAGUCUGAUGUUAAAGAUCGGGGCCUAACCCCGGGAGUGCAUUGGAUACUGGCAGACUGGAGUGCAGUAGAGGCAAGUGGAAUUUCCAGUGUAGCGGUGAAAUGCGUAGAUAUUGGAAAGAACACCGGUGGCGUAAGCGACUUGCUGGGCUGUAACUGACGCUGAGGAACGAAAGCUAGGGGAGCAAAUGGG
rnacentral:rRNA from 1 species